rnacentral:rRNA from 1 species
UACGAAGGGGGCUAGCGUUGCUCGGAAUGACUGGGCGUAAAGGGCGCGUAGGCGGCUUGCAUAGUCAGAUGUGAAAUUCCCGGGCUUAACCUGGGGGCUGCAUUUGAUACGUGUGGGCUUGAGUGCGGAAGAGGGUCGUGGAAUUCCCAGUGUAGAGGUGAAAUUCGUAGAUAUUGGGAAGAACACCGGUGGCGAAGGCGGCGACCUGGUCCGUGACUGACGCUGAGGCGCGAAAGCGUGGGGAGCAAACAGG